rnacentral:rRNA from 1 species
AAUCAACGCUGGCGGCGUGCCUAACACAUGCAAGUCGAACGAGAAAGUGGUAGCAAUACCAUGAGUAAAGUGGCGCACGGGUGAGUAACACGUGACUAACCUACCCUGGAGUGGGGGAUAACUGAGGGAAACCUUAGCUAAUACCGCAUAAUACCCACGGGUCAAAGGAGCAAUUCGCUUCAGGAGGGGGUCGCGGCCGAUUAGUUAGUUGGCGGGGUAAUGGCCCACCAAGACUGUGAUCGGUAUCCGGCCUGAGAGGGCGCACGGACACACUGGAACUGAAACACGGUCCAGACUCCUACGGUAGGCAGCAGUGGGGAAUUUUGCGCAAUGGGGGAAACCCUGACGCAGCAACGCCGCGUGGAGGAUGAAGUCCUUCGGGACGUAAACUCCUUUCGAUCGGGACGAUAAUGACGGUACCGGAAGAAGAAGCCCCGGCUAACUUCGUGCCAGCAGCCGCGGUAAUACGAGGGGGGCGAGCGUUGUUCGGAAUUAUUGGGCGUAAAGGGUGCGUAGGCGGUUUUGUAAGUCUUAUGUGAAAUCUAUGGGCUCAACUCAUAGACUGCAUGAGAAACUGCAGGGCUUGAGUGUGGGAGAGGUGAGUGGAAUUUCCGGUGUAGCGGUAAAUGCGUAGAUAUCGGAAGGAACACCUGUGGCGAAAGCGGCUCACUGGACCACAACUGACGCUGAUGCACGAAAGCUAGGGGAGCAAACAGGAUUAGAUACCCUGGUAGUCCUAGCCCUAAACGAUGACUGCUUGGUGUGACGGGUACCCAAUCCCGCCGUGCCGUAGCUAACGCGUUAAGCAGUCCGCCUGGGGAGUACGGUCGCAAGGCUG